rnacentral:rRNA from 1 species
AUGGACGACAUGGACGACUCUCGCCUGUUCAUGCAGUGGGCGGUGAGCACACUGGAGCAGCAGGAUCCAGGAGCCGCCGGCGGCGGCCAGAAGAGCGCCGGCUUCCUGUGUCUCCAGGCGCUCCGCGAUUCCUCGGAGCUGGCGGAAGCACAGAACAGUCUGAGCUCCGGCGACGACACCGGCGGCUGUGGGGGAAUCAUCAGCCCAGCCUCUGAUGCGGCUGUGCACCAAGGCAGUUGGUCCACGUCGUCCCCGACCUCGGGCGGGCCGUUCGCGUCCAGCAGCACCGGCAGCAGCGACGCCCUGUCUACAAGCUGGAACUUUGGCGCUGUCUUGCCGCCGCAGCCGGCUGGCAGCGGGGGCGGGGGCACGCGAGCGCCGCUUCUUUCCGGCGUGUCACAGUUGAUGAGGAGGGCCCCCACAAAGGGCCCGCCGCACGCGCAAGACCACGUCAUGGCGGAGCGGAAGCGCCGGGAGAAGAUCAACCAGCGCUUCAUCGAGCUCUCCGCUCUCAUUCCCGGCCUCAAGAUGGACAAGGGGACGAUUCUUACCGACGCGACGAGAUACGUGAAGGAGCUCCAGGAGAGGGUGAGGUCACUGGAGGCUGCCGGCGGCAACCAUAGGAGCGUCGAGACCGUGGUGCUCGUGAGGAAGCCGUGCCGCCCUGUCGCGCCAGACGACGGCGAGGGCUCCGCACGGUUCCUCUUGGCGGCCGGGACGCCAGCAACUGGAAACCAGCUGCCGGAGAUCGAGGCAAAGCUCUCGGAGGACAACGUCAUGGUGAGGAUCCACUGUGAAAUGAAUGGAAAGGGUCUGGUCUCCAGGGUUCUCACGGAGGUCGAGGAGCUCCACCUCCGCAUCGUCCACAACGAUGUGAUGCCGUUCACGGCGUCCACCGUGAUUAUCACCACCAUGGCAAAGGUGGAAGAGGGCUUUACCGUCAACACAGAGGAGAUUGUAGAAAGACUCAACUCUGCACUGUACCAACAUAGCAGCAACAACAGCAGUGGCAGCAACAAUUAUUAA